UAAUUUUUUUCUUUCAAAUUUUUUCUCAUUUAAUUCUCAGAUGUUAAAGAAAUUGCUGUCACUCAAAAUGGCCAUAAUGGCAAACAUCCCGAAAAUGACAUCCCAGUUCCCGCAAGCGAGGACCCAGUACUACACACCGUACAGACAGUCGGCAGACUUAAGAACAAGAUAUCCCGUCGCGUCUAUAGAAAUGUCUCCAGACAAAUCCGCAAAGUCCAAAAAGGCAACGUUAACGACUAUCUAAGCUCUCUAAUAGCUGCCCUGAAAUUACAUCAAUACAUUAACUUCAUUAACUCCUCGAUGGG